UGCAAGUCGAACGAAGUGGCCCAUAGAAGAUGGAGUGCUUGCACAAAGUUGGAAAUGGAUAUCCACUUAGUGGCAGACGGGUGAGUAACACGUGGGUAACCUACCUCAGAGACUGGGAUAACUAUUGGAAACGAUAGCUAAUACCAGAUGAUUCACAGAUACAAAAGUAACUGUGCUAAAAGGAGCUUUGGCUUCACUUUGAGAUGGGCUUGCGGUGUAUUAGUUAGUUGGUGGGGUAAAGGCCUACCAAGACAACGAUGCAUAUCCGAGCUGAGAGGCUGAUCGGACACACUGGGACUGAGACACGGCCCAGACUCCUACGGGAGACAGCAGUUAGGAAUAUUCGUCAAUGGGGGAAACCCUGAACGAGCAAUGCCGCGUGAGUGAUGACAGUCAUAAUGAUUGUAAAACUCUGUUGCGAAGGAAGAAACCUUACCAUAGGUAAUGAUGGUAAAUUGACGGUACUUCGCCAGAAAGCCCCGGCUAACUACGUG
rnacentral:rRNA from 1 species